rnacentral:tRNA from 1 species
AGUUUUAUAUUCAAAUAAUGAUUUUAAAUUGCAAGUUUAAAGGUACUUUUAGUUAAGGCUU